rnacentral:misc_RNA from 1 species
GAUGAAGAACGCAGCGAAAUGCGAUAAGUAAUGUGAAUUGCAGAAUUCAGUGAAUCAUCGAAUCUUUGAACGCACAUUGCGCCCGCUAGUAUUCUGGCGGGCAUGCCUGUCCGAGCGUCAUUUCAACCCUCAAGCCCCCGGGCUUGGUGUUGGGGAUCGGCGAGCCUCCGCGCCCGCCGUCCCCUAAAUCUAGUGGCGGUCUCGCUGUAGCUUCCUCUGCGUAGUAGCACACCUCGCACUGGGAAACAGCGCGGCCACGCCGUUAAACCCCCAACUUCUGAACGUUUGACCUCGGAUCAGGUAGGAAUACCCGCUGAUCUUAAGCAUAUCAAUAAGCGGAGGA